rnacentral:rRNA from 1 species
GAUGAACGCUGGCGGCGUGCCUAAUACAUGCAAGUCGAGCGAACGGACGAGAAGCUUGCUUCUCUAAUGUUAGCGGCGGACGGGUGGGUAACACGUGGAUAACCUACCUAUAAGACUGGGAUAACUUCGGGAAACCGUAGCUAAUACCGGAUAAUAUUUUGAACCGCAUGGUUCAAAAGUGAAAGACGGUCUUGCUGUCACUUAUAGAUGGAUCCGCGCUGCAUUAGCUAGUUGGUAAGGUAACGGCUUACCAAGGCAACGAUGCAUAGCCGACCUGAGAGGGUGAUCGGCCACACUGGAACUGAGACACGGUCCAGACUCCUACGGGAGGCAGCAGUAGGGAAUCUUCCGCAAUGGGCGAAAGCCUGACGGAGCAACGCCGCGUGAGUGAUGAAGGUCUUCGGAUCGUAAAACUCUGUUAUUAGGGAAGAACAUAUGUGUAAGUAACUGUGCACAUCUUGACGGUACCUAAUCAGAAAGCCACGGCUAACUACGUG